rnacentral:rRNA from 1 species
AUACGGAGGGUGCAAGCGUUACUCGGAAUCACUGGGCGUAAAGCGCGCGCAGGCGGCUAUUUAAGUUGGAUGUGAAAGCCUAUGGCUCAACCAUAGAACUGCAUCCAAAACUAUUUAGCUAGAGUGUGGGAGAGGAAGAUGGAAUUAGUUGUGUAGGGGUAAAAUCCGUAGAGAUAACUAGGAAUACCAAAAGCGAAGGCAAUCUUCUGGAACACUACUGACGCUGAGGCGCGAAAGCGUGGGGGGCAAACAGGAUUAGAAACCCUAGUAGUCC